rfam:Brassica napus, WGS project CCCW01000000 data, contig: 8024
AGAGUAUAAUGCAGCCAAGGAUGACUUGCCGAAACGUCGUUCAUCAUGCGUAUAGGUAUUGGUGAUGAACAUAUUUCUGGCAAGUUGUCCUUCGGCUACAUUUUGCUCUCU